rnacentral:rRNA from 1 species
GUAGGUGGCAAGCGUUGUCCGGAAUUAUUGGGCGUAAAGCGCGCGCAGGCGGUCCUUUAAGUCUGAUGUGAAAGCCCACGGCUCAACCGUGGAGGGUCAUUGGAAACUGGGGGACUUGAGUACAGAAGAGGAAAGCGGAAUUCCAAGUGUAGCGGUGAAAUGCGUAGAGAUUUGGAGGAACACCAGUGGCGAAGGCGGCUUUCUGGUCUGUAACUGACGCUGAGGCGCGAAAGCGUGGGGAGCAAACAGGGGGUUAGAUACCCUGGUAGUCCACGCCGUAAACGAUGGGUGCUAAGUGUUAGGGGGUUUCCCGCCCCCCUUAGUGCUGCAGCUAACGCAUUAAGCACUCCGCCUGGGGGAGUACGGCCGCAAGGCUG